GGCACGGAGAAGGGCACGGAGAAGCAGCGGGCAGUGGGAGCCGAGGUUGCUGAAGGAGGAGCAGGCUGGGAGCGGUGUCCUGGCACUCCCACGAGGCAGAUCCUUGCUGCGGUGUCACCACGAAGCACAUCUUCCAUGCCAUGGUGUUUUAAUAUUGAAUUAGUGCCAUCAGUCAGGAGCGUUAUUAUUUAUUUAUUUAGUUCCUAAAUAGGUUUGAAGCUAAAGUGCUGGUUUUGGCAGUGAUGGGACAUAGCCUGCCUAAAGACGGAAGGGAGAAGGCAAACCUAUUAACCACAUAGGACCAUGGGUUCAUACGCAGAAGUCUUGUCCUUUGGAAGGGUGAUCUGAAAGGAGGUCCCCAUGGUAUCAGUAUUAAAGGCAGAAAUCAAAGCACGGGACCCAUGGGAAGCGGCGUUUCAAAUGUAUAGCACCGCUCUUCUGUGUCACUGUUCUGAACUAUGCACCCUCCGCUCCUGACAGCACACCCACAACAAGAUAAGCUUUGACAGUGAUGAGUGGGUUCUGGCUAUGCAUGAAGAAAUUGGAAGCUGGUUAUCACCGCAAUCGUGCAAUGGGACUGUUGGACUGGCUGCUGUGUUGCUUGUGCGAGGCUGAGCCGAGGGCUCCUGAGAUGAAAUUUCAGAAAGUGCCAAAUCCAGACAGGCUCUGUAUGAUUAACAAGGAUGCCUGCCUCACCACAGAGAUGUGCAGAAACUGCAGCAAUCACUCAGCAGAGCUGCUUGGAGAGACCAAGAGGCAGUGCUCCAUAAAGCCCAAUGUGGUUUCAGCCAGCAGCAUGCUAUCUAAGUGGUGA
rnacentral:lncRNA from 1 species